rnacentral:lncRNA from 1 species
GUUGCGGGCGGAACUGAGCGCACGCGAGGCUCGAAGGCGACUGCAGUCGGCCCUUCCCGGAGUCCCGCUUCGGGGCCGUCCCUGGGCGCUGCGCGUUGGUCCGCCCGAGUCUUGGGGUGGCUUGGGAGAAUGGGUUUGGGGCUCAGGCCUCGAGGUUGCCAAGAGCCUCGCGCUUCCUCAUUUUCCCGCCAGGUCAACGUAACCCGGCAUUUCUCCGAGGAGAGGCCUAAAAAUGAGUGGGGCUGCCGCCCGACUCCUGUGAGAGCCUCGGGGCUUCCAUUCCCGACACCAGGAGGAAAGACCGGCAUUUCUUCCUCGGGCGAAGAACCCAGUUGUCCAGGCUGGGCUCAAAGAUGGGACUCUCUUGCAUCAGCUUUCCAGAGUGCUGGGAUUACACGUGUGCGCCACGGAAUCUGGCUACCGAGCACUUAUUGUUGAACUUAUUUUUGUUCUUAGUUCUGAGGACUGAACCUAGAGGCUCACACAUGCUAAAUAUUUACUCUACCACUGAAGCAAUCUCCUGGCCCUCAAAUUCUUAAGUUAUAAAACAAGAAAAUUUUUGAUAUGGUUUCCUGGAUGAAACAGUGACAAAAUCAAGAGAGCUAACCUUGCUUACCCUGCCCAACCCACUUGUGUGAUAUGUUAGCUCCCUGGUCCCUGCUUGAUUCAGACACUACAGAAGAUGUGGG